rnacentral:lncRNA from 1 species
CCUGGGAAUCAAGUGAAGAGCAUUAAUUGUAGCCUUGUAGACGUUGGCCCCUCAUUAAAACCGACGUCAAUAAACUGUCUUAUCGCCUACCUCAGGCCAUUAGACGUUAGUGUAGGGCAGAGCAGACGUCUACAAUCUCAUAGACGUUGCCUUCCCUUGAAACUGAUGUCUAGGUUACCAACUUAUUUACGGUAAUGCCACCGUCCGCA